rfam:Triticum urartu cultivar G1812 contig1041665, whole genome shotgun sequence.
CUUGUACUCCCUCCGUCCGAUAAUACUUGUCAUUGAAAUGGAUGUAUCUAGAUGUAUUUUAGUUCUAGACACAUCCAUUUUGAUGACAAGUAAUUCCGGACGGAGGGAGUACUUG